rnacentral:misc_RNA from 1 species
AAAAAAUAGAGAUGAUAUUCAAAAUGCAAAAGUAUAACAUAAGGUAAUUGUAAUUCUAGUUUUUUAAAGGCCCUAUUGUUUGGUGCAAUUCUAUGAGUUUUGGACGAGCAACCACAAAGGUGCAUGCUCAAAUCUGUUGAGAACAACCAUUUCAUACAAAAAUAUAGAAAGGAACUUCCCACACUCAGUCCAAAACUUUGAUCUAUGUGAUACUUAUUGAUUGCUUCCUAAUAUUGAGUGAUCAAUAACAUUUACUACAUCCAUCAUCUAACCACAUAGACAUUUUUUUUACUGACAAGAACAUAAAGGGAAAA